AUGAACGCUAGCUACAGGCUUAACACAUGCAAGUCGAGGGGCAGCAUGGUCUUAGCUUGCUAAGGCCGAUGGCGACCGGCGCACGGGUGAGUAACACGUAUCCAACCUGCCGUCUACUCUUGGACAGCCUUCUGAAAGGAAGAUUAAUACAAGAUGGCAUCAUGAGUCCGCAUGUUCACAUGAUUAAAGGUAUUCCGGUAGACGAUGGGGAUGCGUUCCAUUAGAUAGUAGGCGGGGUAACGGCCCACCUAGUCUUCGAUGGAUAGGGGUUCUGAGAGGAAGGUCCCCCACAUUGGAACUGAGACACGGUCCAAACUCCUACGGGAGGCAGCAGUGAGGAAUAUUGGUCAAUGGGCGAGAGCCUGAACCAGCCAAGUAGCGUGAAGGAUGACUGCCCUAUGGGUUGUAAACUUCUUUUAUAAAGGAAUAAAGUCGGGUAUGCAUACCCGUUUGCAUGUACUUUAUGAAUAAGGAUCGGCUAACUCCGUGCCAGCAGCCGCGGUAAUACGGAGGAUCCGAGCGUUAUCCGGAUUUAUUGGGUUUAAAGGGAGCGUAGAUGGAUGUUUAAGUCAGUUGUGAAAGUUUGCGGCUCAACCGUAAAAUUGCAGUUGAUACUGGAUAUCUUGAGUGCAGUUGAGGCAGGCGGAAUUCGUGGUGUAGCGGUGAAAUGCUUAGAUAUCACGAAGAACUCCGAUUGCGAAGGCAGCCUGCUAAGCUGCAACUGACAUUGAGGCUCGAAAGUGUGGGUAUCAAACAGGAUUAGAUACCCUGGUAGUCCACACGGUAAACGAUGAAUACUCGCUGUUUGCGGUCUACGGCAAGCGGCAAAGCGAAAGCGUUAAGUAUUCCACCUGGGGAGUACGCCGGCAACGGUGAAACUCAAAGGAAUUGACGGGGGCCCGCACAAGCGGAGGAACAUGUGGUUUAAUUCGAUGAUACGCGAGGAACCUUACCCGGGCUUAAAUUGCAGAUGAAUUACGGUGAAAGCCGUAAGCCGCAAGGCAUCUGUGAAGGUGCUGCAUGGUUGUCGUCAGCUCGUGCCGUGAGGUGUCGGCUUAAGUGCCAUAACGAGCGCAACCCUUGUUGUCAGUUACUAACAGGUUCCGCUGAGGACUCUGACAAGACUGCCAUCGUAAGAUGUGAGGAAGGUGGGGAUGACGUCAAAUCAGCACGGCCCUUACGUCCGGGGCUACACACGUGUUACAAUGGGGGGUACAGAGGGCCGCUACCACGCGAGUGGAUGCCAAUCCCAAAAACCUCUCUCAGUUCGGACUGGAGUCUGCAACCCGACUCCACGAAGCUGGAUUCGCUAGUAAUCGCGCAUCAGCCACGGCGCGGUGAAUACGUUCCCGGGCCUUGUACACACCGCCCGUCAAGCCAUGGGAGCCGGGGGUACCUGAAGUGCGUAACCGCGAGGAGCGCCCUAGGGUAAAACUGGUGACUGGGGCU
rnacentral:rRNA from 1 species